CCCCUCAAAUGAGAUGCCGAAUGAGCUAUUUCCUGCUGCCAUUGAUGCGACUGACAUGACGGAAUCAACCGAGGGCACCUCUAAACAGUUAAUUUUAUGCAACUAUUUAUUGGUGUCUUCAGGCAACUGACUAGAAAGGGAAUCAAGUUGAUCUUGCAGCAGAUGAAGCCGGAGGGAGGAGUAUAGCUCAAGGUGGAGUGUGAUGACAUUCUCAUCUUUCUAAAUUUUAAAGAAGCCACUAUUUUCUGUAUUAUAGUUCAUUUGUUUCUCUUUGUCUAGGGCUCUAUCCAAAAAAAAAAGGAUUACGCAGUGCUUGGCAUCACACUUGGGUAAGGAGAUUUACGAAGGUUGUCGUGGUUAUGAGUCCAAAGGAAAACUAUGGUACUGCUUGCUUAUACUGCUAAAAAAACUGUCAUCAAAAUAAAGUCGGCGCUGCAACACUGGAAUUUGUGUAUUUACAAUUUUUCAAUGUAGUUUCUUGCCGAACCAAAAUUUGUACAACUACUGUGGGUUUUUGAGUAAUGCUGCGAGAUCCCUGCUUGUGUAUAUAUGUAUAGUCUAUUUUUGCAUGGUUGUGGCACCAUUUAUCCCUUUUUGAUCUACUGACCUUGUCUUUUCUUCUCAACUCUUGUACCAUUAUUCAGUUACAUUUUGCUCAUCUUCAUUGUUGUACGGUUUAUAAUUUGGUUCUU
rnacentral:lncRNA from 1 species